rnacentral:ncRNA from 2 species
UUCCGUGACACGGGGUGCCGCACAGCGCGGCUGAGAUCACACCCGUCGAACCUGAUCUAGGUAGCACUAGCGAAGGGAUGUCGCGCAUGACCCGC